rnacentral:misc_RNA from 1 species
GCAAAAGAGGAAGAGCGCAGC